rnacentral:rRNA from 1 species
CCCUUAGAUGUCCUGGGCCGCACGCGCGUUACACUGAUGCAUUCAACGAGCUUAUAACCUUGGCCGAGAGGCCCGGGCAAUCUUGUUAACGUGCAUCGUGAUAGGGAUAGAUUAUUGAAAUUAUUAAUCUUGAACGAGGAAUUCCUAGUAAACGCAGAUCAUCAAUCUGCAUUGAUUACGUCCCUGCCCUUUGUACACACCGCCCGUCGCACCUACCGAUUGGAUGGUCCGGUGAAGCCUCGGGAUUGUGGUUCUUGCCGCUUUAUUGUAGCGUGACCGCGAGAACUUGUCUAAACCUUAUCAUCUAGAGGAAGGUGAAGUCGUAACA